rnacentral:rRNA from 1 species
UACGAGGGGUGCGAGCGUUAUUCGGAAUGAUUGGGCGUAAAGCGUGCGUAGGCGGCUAGUUAAGUCUAAUGUUAAAUCCUCCAGCCUAACUGGAGAAAUGCAUUGGAAACUGGCUUGCUAGAGGGUGGGAGAGAGAAGUGGAAUUCUCGGAGUAGCGGUAAAAUGCUUAGAUCUCGAGAGGAACACCAAUGGCGAAGGCAGCUUCUUGGUCCAUUCCUGACGCUGAGGUACGAAAGCGUGGGGAGCAAACAGG